rnacentral:rRNA from 1 species
ACCAGACUCCUACGGGAGGCAGCAGUGGGGGAUAUUGCACAAUGGGGGGAACCCUGAUGCAGCGACGCCGCGUGGGUGAAGGAGUGCUUCGGCACGUAAAGCCCUAUCGGCAGGGAAGAAGCAAGACGGUACCUGACUAAGAAGCCCCGGCUAACUACGUGCCAGCAGCCGCGGUAAUACGUAGGGGGCAAGCGUUAUCCGGAUUUACUGGGUGUAAAGGGAGCGUAGACGGCAUGGCAAGUCUGAAGUGAAAGCCCGGGGCUCAACCGCGGGACUGCUUUGGAAACUGUUAAGCUGGAGUGCAGGAGAGGUAAGUGGAAUUCCUAGUGUAGCGGUGAAAUGCGUAGAUAUUAGGAGGAACACCAGUGGCGAAGGCGGCUUACUGGACUGUAACUGACGUUGAGGCUCGAAAGCGUGGGGAGCAAACAGGAUUAGAUACCCCAGUA